rnacentral:rRNA from 1 species
UACAGAGACUGCGAGCGUUAUUCGGAUUCACUGGGCGUAAAGGGUGCGCAGGCGGCCGUGUGUGUGAGGCGUGAAAGCCCGGGGCUUAACCCCGGAAUUGCACCUCAAACUACACGGCUAGAGCAUUGGAGAGGGUAGCAGAAUUCACGGUGUAGCAGUGAAAUGCGUAGAUAUCGUGAGGAAUACCAGAGGCGAAGGCGGCUACCUGGACAAUUGCUGACGCUCAGGCACGAAAGCGUGGGGAGCAAAAGGG